rnacentral:rRNA from 1 species
AGAGUUUGAUCAUGGCUCAGAAUCAACGCUGGCGGCGCGCUUAACACAUGCAAGUCGCACGAGAAAGGGGAGCAAUCCCUGAGUACAGUGGCGUACGGGUGAGUAACACGUGGAUGAUCUACCCUCUAGUGGGGAAUAACCAUGGGAAACCGUGGCUAAUACCGCAUAAGCUCGAGAGAGGAAAGCAGCAAUGCGCUGGAAGAGGAGUCCGCGGCCGAUUAGCUAGUUGGCAGGGUAAAAGCCUACCAAGGCAGAGAUCGGUAGCCGGCCUGAGAGGGCACACGGCCACACUGGCACUGAAACACGGGCCAGACUCCUACGGGAGGCAGCAGUGGGGAAUCUUGCACAAUGGGGGAAACCCUGAUGCAGCGACGCCGCGUGAGCGAUGAAGCCCUUCGGGGUGUAAAGCUCUUUCGGCAGGGAAGAUGAUGACGGUACCUGCAGAAGCAGCUGCGGCUAACUACGUGCCAGCAGCCGCGGUA